rnacentral:rRNA from 1 species
GUAAUAGUUAUGUUCUUGAAACUUAAAAAAUUUGGCGGUAUUUUAGUCUAUUCAGAGGAAUUUGUUCUAUAAUUGAUAAUCCCCGUUGGACCUUACUUAAAUUUGUUUUCAGUUUAUAUACCGUCGUUAUCAGAAUAUUUUAAAAGAAUCAAUAAUUUUCUUAAAUUUUUAUAAAAAUUUAUUUCAGAUCAAGGUGUAGCUUAUGUUUAAGUAGAAAUGAAUUACAAUAAAUUUAUUUAAAUGAAUAUUAUUAUGAAAAAUUAAUUGAAGGUGGAUUUGAAAGUAAAAUUAUAUAGAU